GACGAACGCUGGCGGCGUGCCUAAUACAUGCAAGUCGAACGCUUCUUUCCUCCCGAGUGCUUGCACUCAAUUGGAAAGAGGAGUGGCGGACGGGUGAGUAACACGUGGGUAACCUACCCAUCAGAGGGGGAUAACACUUGGAAACAGGUGCUAAUACCGCAUAACAGUUUAUGCCGCAUGGCAUAAGAGUGAAAGGCGCUUUCGGGUGUCGCUGAUGGAUGGACCCGCGGUGCAUUAGCUAGUUGGUGAGGUAACGGCUCACCAAGGCCACGAUGCAUAGCCGACCUGAGAGGGUGAUCGGCCACACUGGGACUGAGACACGGCCCAGACUCCUACGGGAGGCAGCAGUAGGGAAUCUUCGGCAAUGGACGAAAGUCUGACCGAGCAACGCCGCGUGAGUGAAGAAGGUUUUCGGAUCGUAAAACUCUGUUGUUAGAGAAGAACAAGGACGUUAGUAACUGAACGUCCCCUGGCGGUAUCUAACCAGAAAGCCACGGCUAACUACGU
rnacentral:rRNA from 1 species